rnacentral:rRNA from 1 species
UACGGAGGGUGCGAGCGUUAUCCGGAAUUAUUGGGCGUAAAGAGCUCGUAGGCGGUUUGUCGCGUCUGCUGUGAAAACUGGAGGCUCAACCUCCAGCCUGCAGUGGGUACGGGCAAACUAGAGUGCGGUAGGGGAGAUUGGAAUUCCUGGUGUAGCGGUGGAAUGCGCAGAUAUCAGGAGGAACACCGAUGGCGAAGGCAGAUCUCUGGGCCGUAACUGACGCUGAGGAGCGAAAGCAUGGGGAGCGAACAGG